CCGGGUGUAGCGAAGUUUGGUAUCGCGCGUGGUUUGGGACCACGAGACCGCAGGUUCAAGUCCUGUCACCCGGACCA
rnacentral:tRNA from 6 species